rnacentral:rRNA from 1 species
AUUGAACGCUAGCGGGAUGCCUUACACAUGCAAGUCGAACGGCGUGGCGAACGGGUGAGUAAUGUAUCGGACCGUGCCCAGUAGCGGGGGAUAACUACGCGAAAGCGUAGCUAAUACCGCAUACUAUUGGAGCGGCCGAUAUCGGAUUGGCUAGUUGGGGGGAGAACGGCUCACCAAGGCGACGACCCGUAGCUGGUUUGAGAGGCCGACCAGCCAAACGGGGAAUGAGACAAGGCCCAGAAGCCUACGGGAGGCAGCAGGGGGGAAUUUUGGACAAUGGGGGAAAACCUGAUCCAGCCAUCCCGCGUGGGAGAUGAAGGCCUUCGGGUUGUAAAGCACUUUAGGCAGGAAAGCGGUAACUGCAAAAUAAGCACCGGCUAACUACGGGCCAGCCGCCGCGGUAAUAC